CAUAUAUCAUAUCUUUUAUCUCAAUGCUACCCUUUCUUCCCUAAAAUUUCAGGCCACCUUCCUCCUAACUUCUUCCCUAUUCACCUCCCCGAACUUUUCUCAAGAAAUAGCUUAAAUGCUAAGCUACCCCUGCCUCCUAGCCUGAAGAGAAAUCACGCUUCGAAAUCUCUUUUAGUUGUGACACAAAGAGGGGAAGAAAACAACCAUGACUUCCACAAACACCCAGAUCAUCUCUUAUUCUCCUUCUUCUUCUUCUAAAUCAACCCAUCAAUUCACUUAUGAAGUCUUGUUGAGUUUCAGAGGAGAAGACACCCGCCAUGGUUUCACAGAUCAUCUUUAUGAGGCUUUGAUUUCCUGUGGAAUUCGCACCUUUAGAGAUGAUGAAGAACUGGAGAGAGGAGGAGUAAUUGCAUCUGACCUGCUGAAAGCUAUUGAAGAAUCAAAGAUUUUUGUUAUCAUUUUUUCGGAAAACUAUGCUGCCGCUAGGUGGUGUCUAGAUGAACUCGUGAAGAUCAGUGAGUGUGGGGCGACCGAGGGGCGACUGAUUCUACCAAUUUUCUAUCAUGUGGAUCCAGCCCAUGUGCGGAAGCAAAGCGGGAGUUAUGAAAAGGCAUUUGUUGAUCACGAGAAGGAAGCAGAUGAGGAGAAAAGGGAGAAGAUUCAAAAGUGGAGAAGUGCCUUGGCAAAAGUUGGCAAUCUUGCUGGAUAUGAUCUACAAAAAUAUCAAUAUGAGACAAGACUUAUCAAGGAAAUUAUUGAUGUCAUCCUCAAAGAAUUGAACUCCAAGCUCUUACUACAUGUUAGCAAGAACAUAGUUGGAAUGAAUUCUCAUUUGGAAGAACUGAAAUCAUUGAUAAAAAUUGAGUCAAAUGAUGUUCGCAUGAUUGGGAUUUAUGGGCUUGGUGGAAUUGGUAAGACCACAAUUGCCAAAGUUGUAUAUAAUAAUAUCUCACAUCAAUUUGAGAGUAGAAUCUUUCUUGAAAAUGUUAGAGAAAGAUCCAAAGACUACUCAAGUCUACUUAAAUUACAACAAGAACUUCUUAAUGGGGUCAUGAAGGGAAAAAAUAAAAAAAUAAGUAAUGUUCAUGAAGGGAUUAAUGUGAUAAGAAACAGGUUUCACUCUAAAAAGGUUCUUCUUAUUCUUGAUGAUGUAGACGAGUUGAAGCAAUUAGAAUUCUUAGCUGGAGGGCAUAGUUGGUUUGGUCCUGGAAGUAGAAUCAUCAUAACCUCUAGAGAUCAACAUUGUCUAUGUGUGCAUGGAGUCGAUGCACCAUAUAAAGUUGAGGCACUAAGUUACAAGGAAUCUAUUCAACUUUUCUGUCAACAUGCCUUUAAACAAAACAUUCCUAAAAGUGACUAUGUAGACCUCUCAAAUCAUGUAGUAAAUUAUGUGAAAGGCUUACCAUUAGCUCUUGAAGUUUUGGGUUCUUUUCUUUUUGGUAAAAGUGUGUCUGAGUGGGAAAGUGCAUCACAAAAACUAAAGAAAAAGCCCAACAUGCAAGUCCAAAAUGUACUUAAGAUAACCUUUGAUGGAUUGGACAAGACAGAGCAAGAAACAUUCCUUGACAUUGCGUGCUUCUUCAAGGGAUGGAAUGAAAAUGAUGUAACAAGACUAGUAGAGGAUGCAAAGAUUGCAAUAAGAGUUCUUAGUGACAGGUGCCUCAUAACUCUUUUUGGUAAUACCAUAAGGAUGCAUGAUUUGGUAGAAGAAAUGGGUAGAGAAAUUGUUCGACAUGAACAUCCUAAAGAGCCUGGGGAAUGGAGCAGAUUGUGGGACCCCAAGGAUAUUUCCCUUGUAUUGAGAAAAAAAAUGGGAACGAAAGCAGUUGAAGCGAUAUUUCUAGACAUGUGUACAUCAAGAGAGAUCUCAUUUACUACUAAAGCUUUCAAAAGGAUGGGGAGACUUAGAUUAUUCAAAAUUUAUUGGAGUUGUGGUUUUCUUAAUUAUAUGGGAAAACAGUGUCAAAAGCUCCUCCUUCCUGAAGACUUUGAAUUUCCUUCACAUUAUUUAAGAUAUCUUCAUUGGGAAGGAUACUCUUUGAAAUCCUUGCCUUCAAAUUUUGAUGGAGAGAACCUCAUUGAACUCAACUUGCAGCAUAGCAAUAUAGAACACCUUUGGCAAGGGAAAAAGUAUCUAGAAGAGUUGAAGAUCUUGAAUUUAUCAGAAUCUCAGCAGCUCAAUGAAAUCCCACACUUCUCAAAUAUGCCAAAUUUGGAGCGACUAGAUGUUGAAGGUUGUAGAAGUUUGGAUAAUGUUGACUCAUCUAUUGGUUUCUUGAAGAACCUUACUUUGUUGAAUUUGAGAUGGUGCCCAAAGAUUAGGAGCUUGCCAAGUACAAUUCAAAACUUGGUCUCUCUUAAAAGUCUUUAUUUAGAUGUAACUGCUAUUGAAGAAUUACCAUCCUCAAUAUAUCAUCUCACCUCACUUCAGUUGCUAUCUAUUGAUGUAUGCAAAAACUUGAGGAGUCUUCCGAGCAGCAUUUGUAAGUUGAAAUACCUUGAAGAACUUAAUCUCGUUGGUUGUUCAAACUUGGAGACUUUUCCGGAAAUCAUGGAGGUUAUGGAAUGCUUAAAUUCACUUGAUUUAAGUGAAACGUGUAUAAAAGAGCUUCCAUCAUCAAUUGAGUUUCUAAAACAUCUCAUUGUUUUGAUUUUAAGGAAGUGUGAAAACUUGAGGAGUCUUCCGAGCAGCAUUUGUAGGUUGAAAUACCUUGAAGAACUUAAUCUCUCUAAUUGUUCAAACUUUGAGACUUUUCCGGAAAUCAUGGAGGUUAUGGAAUGCUUAAAGACACUUGAUUUAAGUGGAACGUGUAUAAAAGAGCUUCCAUCAUCAAUUGAGUUUCUAAAACAUCUCACUUAUUUGCAGUUAGUGAAGUGUGAAAACUUGAGGAGUCUUCCGAGCAGCAUUUGUAGGUUGAAAUACCUUCAAGAACUUAAUCUCUCUAAUUGUUCAAACUUUGAGACUUUUCCGGAAAUCAUGGAGGUUAUGGAAUGCUUAAAGGCACUUGAUUUAAGUGGAACGUGUAUAAAAGAGCUUCCAUCAUCAAUUGAGUUUCUAAAACAUCUCACUUAUUUGCAGUUAGUGAAGUGUGAAAACUUGAGGAGUCUUCCGAGCAGCAUUUGUAGGUUGAAAUACCUUGAAAUACUUUAUCUCUUUGAUUGUUCAAACUUUGAGACUUUUCCGGAAAUCAUGGAGGUUAUGGAAUGCUUAAAGUCGCUUAAUUUAAGUGGAACGUGUAUAAAAGAGCUUCCAUCAUCAAUUGAGUUUCUAAAACAUCUCACUUAUUUGCAGUUAGUGAAGUGUGAAAACUUGAGGAGUCUUCCGAGCAGCAUUUGUAGGUUGAAAUACCUUGAACAACUUCAUCUCUCUGGUUGUUCAAACUUGGAGACUUUUCCGGAAAUCAUGGAGGAUAUGGAAUGCUUAAAGUCGCUUAAUUUAAGUGGAACGUGUAUAAAAGAGCUUCCAUCAUCAAUUGAGUUUCUAAAACAUCUCACUUAUUUGCAGUUAGUGAAGUGUGAAAACUUGAGGAGUCUUCCGAGCAGCAUUUGUAGGUUGAAAUACCUUGCACAACUUCAUCUCUCUGGUUGUUCAAACUUGGAGACUUUUCCGGAAAUCAUGGAGGAUAUGGAAUGCUUAAAGUCGCUUAAUUUAAGUGGAACGUGUAUAAAAGAGCUUCCAUCAUCAAUUGAGUUUCUAAAACAUCUUGUUGAUUUGCAUUUGAUCCAUUGCAAAAACUUGAGGAGUCUUCCAAGCAGCAUUGGUAGGUUGAAAUCGCUUCAACAACUCUGUCUCACUGGCUGUCCAAACCUAGUCACAGAGGACAUGGAAAAUUUAAUAAAUCUUGGUUUAUUAGCAACCCCAAGGGAUUUAUGGUGCCUAUCCUCGCUGGUAGAAUUAGAUCUAAGUCAAAACAAUAUGCAUCACAUACCUACUGGUAUUACUCAACUAUGUAAUCUAAGACGCCUUAAUAUCAGUCAUUGCAAGAUGCUUGAAGAAAUUCCAGAGCUUCCAUCAAGUCUAAGAGAAAUAAAUGCACAUGAUUGCCCAAUCUUUGGAACUCUAUCAAAUCCAUCAACUCUUCUCUGGUCUUUUCUCCUCAAAUGGUUCGAGAAAAUUGAGCCUCCUUUGAAAUGGAGAAGUAUUAAUCUAGGAGGUAAUGGAAUUCCAGGGUGGGUACUGCAUCAGAAAAUGAGAAGCCAAAUAAGAAUAGAGCUUCCUAUGAAUUGGUACGAAGAUGACCACUUCCAUGGAUUUGGAUUUUUCUGUCUUCAUCAUCAAUCAAAAGAAUUUCUUUUAUCUUUGAAAUUUGAUGAAGGAGAAUAUGCUCGCGAUGUAGUAGAAAAUUUCUGUAGCGAAUGCCACGAGAUUAAUGAUAGUGAAUCAGAUCAAGUGUUGCUAGUGUACUAUCCUAAGAUUUCUUUUAGGGACAAGUUCCACUCCAAUCAAUAUAGGCACCUUCAGGCUUCAUUUGGUCCAUAUUAUCAAGAAUCAAAAAUGAAAAGUUGUGGGGUUCAUCUUAUAUACUCUUAAGACGAUCAACAAAACCAUAUCUCGUCGGUAGAUUUUCUUGGCACCCAAGAUGAUGAAGACAACCAUAUAUGCCUAUGUUGUUGAAUAUUCUUGAGAAUUUUGGUGACAACAUAUCAACAACAAAAGCUAUGAAGAGAAGCCGUGAUGACAUAGAACAUAACCAAGCGGAGGAACCACACCAUAAAAGAUCGAGAGAACCCAAUACCGAUCUCAAGCUUUAAACUCAAACACCAACCACAGGUAGCUGCUGCCAUAUAUGCACCAGUGGCGGGUCUUCACCGCUACAAUAACAUCACUAUAUAUAGACCAGUGCCUCCCGCUCACCCUUGUUUCUACUCACCCCCACUGCAAAAACCAUUCACGGUGCUGAUGCCAUUCCCAUUCCCUUCCUUUAACAAUGAGCAGUACUCAGACAAAAAGAGAUUUUGCAGUGGUUAAUAAUGGAGAUUAUUGGAGUGUGGAUGAAGAGUCUUGCUUGAGAUCCCUUCUGGACAUAUAUACAGAAGAUCUUUCACCUGGACAUAUAUACAAAGGACUACUAGUUCUUAUUAGUCUCAAGUCAUUGAUUGAUCUAUUUUUUUGGAGGUACAACUUGAUGGAUAUUGGCCUGCAGAAUUUGGCAUGGAUUCAACUGGAAAUGAAUUGGCUUUGGUAUCAAUGGAACAUCCAAGGUCCUCUGUAUCAAUUACAGGAGGCCCAACCCUGUUAAAUGGUCAUUCAACAGUUCAUAAAUUUUUGUGUUGUGACACAGUGGCUUAUUAAUCACCCCAAGUUUCAGAAAAAUCCACUUUACAUCAGUGGUGACUCGUAGUCAGGCAUAAUCAUCCCCAUGGUGGUUCAGGAAAUAUAUAUCCAAUGGUAAUGAUGCAGGGAAAGAGCCAAAAAAUGAAUAUUCAAGGAUACACCAUUGGAAACCCAAUAACAAAUCACUUUAGUGACUUCAAUUCAAGAAUUGCAUACACUCAUCAAGUAGGAAUUCUAUCAUAUGAGCUUUAUGAGGCCAAUAUCUAAAAGCUAAGGUUGAUGGAGGAUUUGGCAGGGACAUGCUGGAGUUUUUGUUGAAAGGACAUGUGGUUGCUUAUAGAACCAUGGUUACAAGAGUUUCUUGAAAUAGCCUGAAGAUUAUUUGAUUGAUAGAGUUGUCGACUUGUGAUGCAGUUGCGUUUGCUGAAAGAUUAUCUAAAUGGCAGUGUCGAUAUGAUUAUGGUUUGCUGAUGUUUAUAUUGACAUUCAGUUUGGUAUCUGUAACGGGCUAUCCUCAACCAUCCUCAUUAGUAGCACCACAGCUGUGUUUGUAUCCAUAGGCAUCUGCCCAAUGUGGGCUGAUGAUGAUCUUCACAAGUUGGUUGCUGGCGAUGUUGAAAAGCUUGGGAACUUCUUAGAAGGAUUUUCAGGGGAAUAUUUUAGAGUCUUAGGAGAUGGAGAAUCCAAGGAUAGCAAAACAUUUCUUCAAGGAUACAAAAGUAUUUUGACUUCAAAAAUCAUUGAAGAUUCCUUGACAAAUUUUGUAAGAUAGGAGUCUAGACAUGGUCGUUUCAGGUUUCGUCAUCCUUAGAAACAAUUCCAAAAGAUUGGAUCCCUAGCUGGCCAAUGCACCUAUCUCAUUGAUGCUCUUAACAACUACCCUCACUCUCAUAUCCCGUGCUAAACACAAGGUAGAAUUGGAGCUUUGUGCAAAAAAAACGCCAAACACUUCCAUGAUCUUAGACUUCUUCAAAGGUUGGGAAAAAUGCAAGCUCUGGAAUGCAUUUCGUGAACAUAUGGAGACAUUGAACAGAUGCCUUGUCCCCAGAAGUCUCCAAGUGAGUAAUGAAAGGAUAUAAAACUGAUUUCCAUAAAGGAUGAAAGUCUCUCUACUGUAUCAGCAAUCGAUGAACCAGUGCAUGAAAUCAUCGUGUUUUCUUCUACAAAUCCAUGUGUGAAAAUUGGUGGUCCAAAAUUGAUUGGCCACGUAAGCAAAGUUAGUUAAUUAACUAACUGAAAGUGUGAGCUGGCACACCUGUUUGCUUAGCAUUUUUUUUUUCAUGUACACGUGUAUAAAAAUGUGAAGAAAAAAAAAGAGUUUUGAAUUGUAGAAAAGAAGUGAGAGGAUUUCAUAGUGUGAGUCUUUUUCACUGUACUAUAACGAGAGCUUGAUGAUUCUCAGAGAUUCUUGAGGAUGUAAAAUGAUUCAAUCUUAGUGGAUUUUUGGAGGUGAUCUUGAUUCGUGGAUGUAGGAUUCAAUCUUGGAUCCGAACCACGUAAAUCCUGCUUGUUUUGUUAUGUUUUGAUAUUAGAUAUUAUUUUCUUUUGAUUUAUGGUUUUGUUUUCUUUGUCUUCUUGGAUUGGUGUUCAAUCUCAAUUCAUUGAGGAACUUGGAU